AUUGAACGCUGGCGGCAUGCCUUACACAUGCAAGUCGAACGGCAGCACGGGAGCAAUCCUGGUGGCGAGUGGCGAACGGGUGAGUAAUAUAUCGGAACGUGCCCAGUCGUGGGGAUAACGUAGCGAAAGCUACGCUAAUACCGCAUACGAUCUAUGGAUGAAAGCGGGGGAUCGCAAGACCUCGCGCGAUUGGAGCGGCCGAUAUCAGAUUAGGUAGUUGGUGAGGUAAAGGCUCACCAAGCCGACGAUCUGUAGCUGGUCUGAGAGGACGACCAGCCACACUGGGACUGAGACACGGCCCAGACUCCUACGGAGGCAGCAGUGGGGGAAUUUUUGGGACAAUGGGCGCAAGCCUCGAUCCAGCAAUGCCGCGUGCAGGAUGAAGGCCUCGGUGUAACUAGCUUUGUAC
rnacentral:rRNA from 1 species